AUCCAAUUGUACUAAAAAAUAUAUAAUAAACUAAUAAGGAUUUUAAUAUAUUGGGAUACCUAUAUUUUAAUACUAAACUUAAACUAAAACAAAAAAAAUUACUUCUUUCGCUGUCGACCAACGUGUAUUAUAAAAAAUCAUUAAAAUAUAUAUAACAUAUUUUAUUUUCAAAUUAAUGUGACCAAUAAAGAUAUUUUUUUUUUAAAAUAAUUGUUUAAUAUCCAGCCUUUGUAAUAAAACAAAAAGGAAAAUAAAAUUUAAUACGGGAAAUUAGAACAGUACACAACUGUCUGUCACGACAUUCCAUUCCAAGUGUGUACACAAUUACAAAAUUUGUUCUUUAAUUUGACAUAGUUUUCUUUAGUACAUCUUUAAUGGUUUUCGUUUUAGUUACGUUUGUUUGUUCUUUUUCCCUAAACUUAGAUUUAGUUUUAAUAAUUUUUAGAUUUUAGAAGUCUUGUUUUAAAACAUUUUUAAAAGUGAUUUUUUAAAAUUUAUUCAAUCCCUAUCUUAUAUUGAAGUAAAUUCAGUUUUUUUGUUUAUUUAAAAAUGUGGCAGACGUUUUAAUGAAUUGUCACAAUUAUUUGUUUGUUUUUUUUUUAAACUAAAUCUUAUAAUAUCAUAAAACUUGUUAUAAGUGGUAAAAAAUUCCAAAGAUUAUUUCAAUUUACUGUGUUUUUUUUUUUUUUUUUUGUUGCUUUCAAGGUGUUUACAAAUCAAAGCCGAAGUUAAAAAGAAAAAGUUUUCGUUUUUUUUUCCUUAAGAAAUUAACUAAUAGGAAAUAUGAAAAUUGUGAGUAAAAAAAUUAUGAAAAAAUCAGUACAAUUUUUAAUUGGGAAGAUAGAAACCAAUGCAAAAAAGAAACUUAAAAUUAUGUGAAAUAUUUUAUAAUAAGAACAUUUAGUUUAGGGUAUUUAAUGCGAAAUUAUAAAUCAUGUGGAACUUGCUGAGGAUCCCGCCGUUACCUGCCGAUGGAAAUCUGUUCUCUUUAACUCGGAGCGUCGUUCCCGGUCUUUAAUGGCGGCGAGGCGAUUUCUCUCUCUCGCUUUUCGUCAUCGGUUACAGACCUCUCCUUCGCCCGAAAGCGCUUCCCCAGUUCACCCAUUUGCAAAUUCAUGGUUCUUGACUGGGUACAGAUUUUUGAGAAGAGAAACCCACACUGAGGCAAAUCCAGCAAUUGCUGAGGAAUCUAAAGACAAUGAAGACACUAAGUUGAGGCCUAUUUCCGAAUUGGGUGAUCCCCUUCAUGAAAACAAGGACGAUACUUCUUCUGUGAAGUACUCUGUUCUCUCCAAUUUAAAACCAUCCCCUAGGCAUGACCUUGCCAUGAUAUUCACUUGCAAAGUCUGCGAGACAAGAUCAAUCAAGACAGUUUGCCGCGAAUCGUAUGAGAAGGGUGUGGUGGUGGCACGUUGCGGUGGAUGCAGCAAUUUACACCUGAUUGCCGACCAUCUUGGUUGGUUUGGCGAGCCAGGCAGCGUGGAAGACUUCCUGGCUGCUCGUGGUGAGGAAGUUCGCAAAGGUUCCCUCGAUUCACUAAGCUUGACUCUUGAAGAUUUGGCUGGAAAGACAUCCUGAAAAUUUUGGAACUUUAUCUAUCUUGAGAGGUGUACAAAUAGUUACUUAACUCAGGUUUCGAUUUCGGAUAUUUGAUGUUCGGAUAAAAGAUAUUUCGAGGUUUGUUUUUGCGGUGAAAUUUAUAAGAAACAGCACCUGCUGGGAGAAGUUUGGGGAUUUGGGGCUGCCUAACUGCUCCCUUUAAGAACGCAAUCAAACAACUCGGAUGACCGUCACAAUGGGCUACAGAUGACUGCAGAUGUCUUUGAAUAUAUGUAUUAUUCUAUAAGCAAUUUGUGCAAUAUUUGUGAAAAUCCAUACAGUUCUAAGUUUGACUUUAAGUAGAAGAAGAAAACAGACAUUUACUCUGCCUGAGGCUUUAAUCUUCGUAUGUUAUGUGUGUUAUUUAAAUAAAUAUACGUAGUUCUUAUUUUAACUAAA